AUUGUAUUGGGGAAAUAACUAUUAAAAAACAAAUUUCAUAUGAACUCAAAAAAAAAGAAAAAGAAUUUCAAGACAGCGGCCACACGAUAUUGAAACAAGUGUGGGCCCCUUCCAAGCACAGGACCCUGAGCAUCCCCUGCCCGGGUUGCAGGCCCACGAAGAAGGCCCUGCAGCUCGGUCUCCAGUUUGGGCUGUUCCACCUGAAGGCAGGAGGGAAUUUGGUGAGUGGGUCCUAUGCUUCCUCAUUGGAGAAGCCGAAGGUGGAGGAGCUGGAAGUGGGAGAGGAGAAAUAAAAAAUUUCAAGAGUGGAUUUCCUCUCCCUCCAAGAGUCACGAGCUGGUUUUAGUCAGAAGACCGUGGCAGAGUCCCCAGCCCAUGGCUGAGUCAUCUCCAGAACUGUGGGCUUUCAGUGAAAAAGAAGGAGAAAGCCUGGGGCUGCUGCCAGGUCUGCGGGAGAUCCUGGGUCCUCCAUCGACUGAGCAACGCGAUGCAAACGGAACAGAAAGGACCUGUCUGAGCCCGGGUGAGGGGUUGGCAGCUGCUGCCCCUGCGGCCCCAAGACUGGGUCCUAUUGCAAUUGCCACCUCUCCUUGCAACUGUUAACCUCCCACAAUGCCGCUGCUCUGUGUCCCUGGCCCCUGAUCCCAAGUCUGAUCGAAUUGCCUUGAUCACCCGCUGUGACAGAGUAAGAAACAUACCCUCGGUCUCUGCCCCAGCUCCUCACUCAGAUCUUCUGAAAUCCUGGUAAUUUCCUGAGUAGUGGGGGCUGGGGGAGCAUCUGACACAGGCCUCCUAAAUGCCUGGGAGCUUCCUACGUGGUAGGAGGUCUUGGUUCUAACGAAGGGACUCCGGGUGGCAUCAGGAUGGAGGCUGUUUGCCAGAAAGACUAAGCCUUGAUCGCAAGCUUGAAACUCUGGGGAGGGAGAGGGACUGGGGAUUGAGUUCAAAAUCAAUCAUGCCUACAUGAUAAAAACCUCUAUAUCAGUCUCUGAAUUGCAGGGCUUCAAAGCGCUCCUGGGUUGGCGAACACGUCCAUGUGCCAGGAGAAUGGCUCACCCCGACUCCACAGGGACAAAAGCACCUGGGCUUGAAACCCUUCUAGACCUCACCCUCUGCACCUCUUCAUCUGGCUGUUCAUUGGCAUCCUUCAACCUGUGAGGAGUGCUGAGGGGCAGAUCUCAGCCUCAGCAGCAAGAAGCAGGCUCUGCUUUCCACUGAACCUAAGUCUCAGACUAUCCACACUUAUUUCUUGUAAAAAGACAGAGUGGGCCAAGUCUUUGCUUACCUCAUCCAUGAAGAACAACCAACAGCACAAGGAACUACAGCACCCUCUCUACUGUUUAUCCAUCAUCAGUGGAGAAAAUGAAGAUUGGAAGAAAAUACAAAGGAUCCCCUCCAAGAUCACAUCCAAUUGUCACGUCUCCUUGGUCUCCACCCUGUGAUGAUCUCUCAGUCUUCCCUUGGUUUUCCUGAGCCUGACACUUUUGAAGAACACUGGUCAGGGUUUUCACAGAAUGUGCCACAAUUUGGGUGCGUCUGAUAUUGUCUCAGGAUGGGGCUGGGCUCAUGGAUUUAGGGGAAAAGUCCCACAGAGGUGAGGAGGUGCCCUCCCCACAUGACACAGAGGGCACCCGCCACCCCCAGGUGGGGGUAUUUAUAUCAUUAGGGGUGGUGUUGACCUUGCAUCAACCCCCCACCCCCACCCCUGGGAGGUGUCAGGCGUGUCUCCACCGAGUUGCUGUCUUUCCCACCCCUAUUCUGUGCUUUAGAAGCAAGUCACCAUCCAGCUCAUUGUGAAGCAGAAGGGGGUCCAGCUGCACCUCCUGUGGGGGAGGUGGACUAUCAAAGCAUUUGUGGAUGAAAGUUAAAACGGCUGCAAUGAUCAGAAAAUAUUGGGGCUCAAUAGCUGGGAGGCUUUGCACAUUUCCUGUUUCUCCUCCAAGUUUCCCCUGUUUAUUUGAGCCGUCAACUGUGGGUCUUGUCUGCAGCAGUUACUACUGGGGUGCUUACUGGUAAUUUUCCAUUUUCCUUAUUCCUUCUGUGUUUAUAAGUUAGAAUUCUAUAAGGAGGGCUUCCCGCUGUGGCGCAGUGGGUUAAGACUCCAACUGCAGUGGCUCGGGUCCCUGUAGAGGCACGGGUUCCAUCUUCAGCCCUGUGGUACCGUGGGUUAAAGGAUCAGGUGUCACAGCAGCUGCAGCUCAGAUUCAAUCCCUGACCCAGAAGCGUCCAUAUGCCACAGGUGCAGCCAUUCAGAAAA